UCUUCUUUGCUCGUGUUAAUAUAAUUGAUUAUGUUUAUACUCAGUUCAAGCAUCGAUAGCGGCAAACACUUGGGUUGUCAGUGGAAGUCCUCAGACAAAAAGUAAUCGUUCAUUCCUUAGUCUAUCUGUUGUUAGCUUGUUAUCAUUAUAUUUUCUGGUUGUCAUGUGCAUCGUAUUGUUAAACCAUAUGAAUAACUGAAUUUUGUCAUUGUUUUUAUAUUGCAGAACUUCAGGACAUUCUUCCUGGUAUUAUAAAUCAACUUGGUAGGUUCUUAUUUUUGCAUUAUUCCUUUUAACUCAUCCUGUGUCUUGUUCAUCUUUGAUUCCAUCUCCAUCUGUCGUUGUAUUGUAUUUACGUGCAUGUUUGUUUGUUUGCAGGGCCUGAUAACAUGGACAAUUUGAGGAGAAUAGCUGAACAGUUAUCUAAGCAGGCUCCUGGUGCCACCAGUUCUGCUCAGGUAGAAGAUGAAGAUGAUGAUGUUCCCGAGCUUGUGCCUGGCCAAACGUUCGAAACAACAGCAAACGAAGGCAAGUCGACUUGAUAGUUUUGAAGGAUCUUCUUUGAUGAAAAUUAUUGCGUUUGGCUUAUUACAGUUUCCUUCUUCAUAUGUGGCGGUUUUUGACUUUAUUUCAGUUUGAUUUUACCUGCAGUUGAUUUAUUAAUGUCCUUUCUUUUGUUUGUUAGAUAUCUGAGUUUAGCACUAUUAAUUUAAAUCCACUGUUUCAUCUAGUUUGAUUUUGAUUCUUAAUUACUUAUUGAUGUAUGUCGUAAAUGCAAGAUGGGUAAGUAAAAGCUUACAGUAAAUUUUAUUUUUACAGUUGCUUUAGCUAUAUAUGUUUACAUCAAUCACAUUCUAUUUUUGUUGUCUAUUUCCAAUCCAAACAGGCAGACAAUGUGGUUUCUUAAUUAAUAUUAAGAAUGGAGAAACAGUUGAAUUAAAAAUAUUACUAAAAUAUGUUGUUACUUGUUUUACACCAUCCGCAAUUGACAAGCCAACCGUUAAUGAGCCAUAUUUCCGAAAGCACGGAUGUUUUGGAGUGUUGUGGUGAAAUUGGAAUUUGUCUGCAUAAGUGUACAAAUUAGAAAUGGCAGUAUUCAUCACAUUAUUCAGAUCAUGUGAGUUUGUGACGACCAAUCUCUCAACCAAUACAUACAUAAGCUGAAUGGGCCGGUCCAGAAUGUCUCAAGUAUUUCCAUUCAUAAUAUAAUUUUUGUCAACUUGUUUCGAAAAUCAUAUAUUUUCUACUUUUAAGACACGGGUGGAGUUGUGGAGAUGGAAUCGAUCAUGGAAAAGAAAAUGACGUUUUUAAUUUAAUGAUUACAAUUAGUUAAAUCGAUUUACUAAUUUAGGCAUCACUUAUUAAUCGUUGUAUGGUUUGCAUUUAUUUGUUUAUUUUCUGAUAGAAUCGUAAUUAAUUUGAUGUUCAGGCCCGAUUGGAAAUCCAUUUCGCUUCUUAUAAAACUGGGAGACGUUGUAAAGCGCAGAGAGAGAGGGAGAGACUGAAAGUCUGCAACCGUCCUCUCAUUUUUGCUUCUCUACAUCCAUUCAGUCACUCACUCUCUCUACCUCUACCUCUACCUCCUUCUCAGCUGUCCUGUUCACAUUGACCAUUCCGGCAGCGGCGGUGGAAGACUGAGAGACACUUGUCGGAAUCACUGCAGAGUGGAGAUCCAUUCAUUUUUCUAUCGGUAAUGUUGCCACCAGUAGCCAGUAACAAUGCAGAUGCUUUUUCUGUUUGUCUGUUUGUUUGUUUUGUGAUUCGAAAUUUUGGUCCCGGGAUUGAAACGAAACGUGGAGGAAAGAGAGCUCGACUCCCGAUGGAUUUGAAGAAGGGAAAUUUCGUUUCUCUUUUCUUUCUUUGCUUUCGCUUUCGCUUUUGGAUCGAUGUGGGCGUGUUGCUGUUUUGCUUGAUUCUUUCUCUCUUUUCACAUUCCAUCUUCUUCCUCUAUCUCUUUUUCAUUUUGGUGUUAUCUAUUUUCUCUGUUGUUUUCUUCUGAAAACCAAAAUUUGCGCGAAGAAGAAGAAGAAACGGAAGCUUAGAGUUGUAUUACCGUCGCUAUUUAUGAUCUAUCUCUUGAAUCAUAACAUUUUUCACCAUUUUAUUUUGGUAUCAUCUAGAAUCUCAGUGAAGGAUUUUUGCCAGUUUUAAUAUAUAUCUUUCAUUUUAUGAGAUCAAACAUCAACGUUUUUUUCUUCUGUUUUCACUGUUUUUUUACAAACUGUAAAUAAACGUUUUUACUGUUAAUUGGGUAAUUCCCCCUAAUGUUUACAGAUUUUCUGUAACUGUGGAUCUCCUCAUGUUUUUUUCCCUGUUAUUGUUUAAUGUCCAUUUCAAUCCCUACUUAAGUCUGUAUAACUGUAUAAGUAUGCUUUACGUCUUUCCUACCACUUUUCCACAACUCUAAAAUUAUGCAAAUUAGUCUGUAUCGCAGCUUUAAUUGGAUGUGUGCACCUACUUGUUUCUUCUUCUGUAUUUCGAAGUUGGACUUUAUGAACUUUAAUAUAUCAUGAUAUGUUUCAAGUUCAUAGGCCAUAGCUCAUAGGUAGAUUUUUUUUUUCUGAAGCAGCUGUCAAUUAUACAACUGGGAAAGAUUCCAUUUGAUGGGGGAGAUCUCAACACAGGUAAUUUUGCAUUAAAACAUUCAGUCACUAUCCAUCCGUUUAUCCCUCCCUAUUCUUGUUUGUGUUUUAUUUAUCAUUUUGCGUAAAACAUACUUGUUACUUGGCAUUUUCACUUUUUUGUUGGGCUUUCUUUUUCUUCUUAUCGAUUUUAUAUCAGAUCUCAUCUAGACUGAUUGUUCCUACAGAUAUAGAAAUUGUUCCUACGUUCAAUUAUAUUCAUUCAAAAUUUCCCUUUCAAAUCAAUUUAAACUCCUAGUGGAUUGGUGGGUGAUAUGCUGAAUUUAAACUCUAUUUUAUAUGUUGAAAGACCCAGAUUACAGCAGUGGAAAAAUGCGGCAGUGUUGUUCUGGAUAUUAAGAGUCUCUCACAGUAUGCUGAAAAAUGUUCCGGGACCGGGAGUCCAAAAUUGACCGUAAGUAAUAAUUUACUUUCUAUUCUGUUUCAUAUUUCACUUUUUUAUAACGAUUUUAUGAAUCUCGAUGUUCAUGCCAUGGAUCUAUUUCCUUUAAUUCAUAUUGGUUUCCUUCAGAAAGUUCUUUCUCGCAAAGGCUCAAACAGAAUGGAGAAACCAAAUGCGGAUGAUCUUGAAGCAGAUGAUGCAUCAAAGAAGAUCGUGGUUAAAGGUCAGAAAUUCGCUUAUUUUUUAAUUCGGCGACGUUAGUAAUUUAGUAUUUUUAAUAUCUUGGGAAAAUAGAAUCAGUGCAAUUACAUUUGGGAUAAUUUUGUGAUAAUCAAUUCAAAUCAAAUCAAAACAGAACAGAACUGUUUUGAAUGUUUUUUCCCUCAAUUUUAUCCCACCAACUAAAAUUAACUUUUAUGGACAGUUAUAUGUUCCCAAAUCGACCAGCCUAAGAUGGUUACAACGUCGAACAAAGCUCACUUGACAACGAUCGCCAGCGCCAAUGCUGCUAAUUUUACUGAAUUGGGAGAUGGAAGGAAUAAAAGAUUCAGUCGUCUAAGAUCCAUUCGUCCAAGAAGUAUCCUCUUGUUUUUUGCCUCCAUGUGAGUUUAGUUGAAGCUUACUUUUUAUAUUAAGUUUCUGCAGCUUUUUCACUGUCAGUGGCAGUUAUAGUACAAGCGUUAGGUCACCUCUCUCCUGGUUUAAAGAUCUAUUUAAUGAGUGUCAAAUUCAGUGAAUUCUGGUUCUACCGAUAAAAUAUAAACGAUUCAGUGAAAUAGAGGUAGUUGGGGGGGAGCUUCCUGUAUUUUCUUGCAGCUGGCCACUAUAAAUAUUUCUAUUUUGUCAAAAAACACAGAAGCUAACUACUAAAUUGAAAUCUAAUAGUGAAAUAGAGGUAGUUGGGGGGGGGGGAGCUUCCUGUAUUUUCUUGCAGCUGGCCAUUUUAAACUUUUCUAUUUUGUCAAAAAACACAGUAGCUAACUACUAAAUUGAAAUCCAAUAGUGAAAUAGGCUAAUGGCAAUAGGUGAUGUUUUAUUUGGUUAAGAAUUUCUGACACUGAUGUUCUUCAUUUGUAACCCAGGUCUAGCAUGGGCACAAUUCUACUCAUAUACUUCACCUUAGCCAUCAACCAACGUGGCGGAGUAUGAUAUUGUUGGAAGCAUGAAGGAUCGAGGAUUUUCGUACGCAGACUCAUUAUUGCCGUGGAGUAUGAUAACUUUUGCCGCUUGUUUGUUAGGGAGAUUGUUGUGUCUGGACUCUGGAGUAAUUAUUUACUGGUGCUCCAGAACUGUCUAGUACAAGAUUGGGUCUUGUAGAAUUGCCUGUUCUUGUAUCUGAAACUUUUAGCGUUUAAUCAAUUUCUUGAAAUGUGUUUCUUUUUACUAACAACCAAAUUCCAAAGCAACUUUCAGAAUGUGAUUAGCCAACAAUGGCCAUCAUUUACUGCGACAGACGGACUGGUAGAGCAAUGAAUGCUUAUUUUGGACGGGAUCAUGCAAUCAAUAAUACAAGCUCGUUUAUAACAGACAACUUUUGCAGGUUGCAAGAUCGCGUGCAUUAUUCAAACAAGGCCAGCCAGCUAAGCUAACCAUGGCAAAUUGAGAGAAAUAGAGGCAUUACUGUCAAUCUACGAAGAUGGAAAAUAAAUGACAAAUUAGAAAUUACCGUCGGUAAAUCACUCGAGUCUGAACAGUUUAUUUACUUAAUGAGUUCCUUUAUUCAUGGGCUCGUUUACUAAAUGGGUCUAGUUUUAAAUUUGACUCUUUUCUAAACGAGUCUAGUCCAAACAAUCUUAGGUAGGUAAGGAUCCUGCAAUUUAAAUCUGUAGACUUGGAAUCAAUAAAAAUAUGUGAAUAAUUUCCAAGUGAUAAAUAGAUUUUUUUUUAUAUGAAAUAAUUAAUUAAAUUAAAAUGAAAUGAAAGUUCAUAUUUCAAUUAAAUAAAUAAAAUAAAGAUAUUUUUUUUAUUAGUAACAACUAAAGAAAGAAUAAUAAAAAAUGUUCUUAUAAAAUAGUAAAAUACUAUCAUUAUUCAUUAAGCAUAUUUAAGACAUUUUUUUUUGCAAAUAAUAAUUAAGACAUUUUAUUAAUAAGUAAAAAGUGUUUUUUUUUUAAAUGUGGAUUGUGAAUUGGUAAUCAGGUGUGUAAAAAAACAUCAUGUGUAAAAUUUGAUGUAUAAAAUUAUUAUCUCGAGAUUUGAUAUAUAAAAUUCGAUUAAAAUGACGGGUGGAAAUGUUAUGUGUGAGAAAUAACAUGUUUAAGAAUUGAGAUCAUUCGAUCUUGUAUUGAUUUUUUAAUUCAAAAUAAAGAAGUUUCUUUUUAAAAUAAAUAACUUAUUUAAUGGUUAAAAUUCAAAUAUCUCAAUAACUAUUUUAUCUGAAUCUCGUUGAAACCCAUACUUAAACACUUAAUGGGCUGGAUUUGGACUGUCCAACCUUUUUAAUGGGGGAUUGCACUUAGGAAAAUUAUAAUUAUACAACUUUUUUUCCAAUAAAUUCAACAUAGGGUAAGCUCAAAAACACUCUCUUUUGCUGGGCUGUUGGAUGUUGUAUUUGAUCAUCUCAACCGUUCUUCUUAUUAAGAUAUUUUUUUUGCACACAUCUCCAUAAAACAAAUAUUUCUUCUACACUUACCUAUGACUUUUCUCCCUACCUACAUCUACAUGUCACGACUCUCACCUCCACCCACAUUUUUUCCGUACACAUUUUCUUCUUUUUUUUCAACUCGUCGGAAAAACCAUUUGCGUUUUGUAUCAUUUAUCUCGUUGAAAACACAUCGAUCUAAUCUUUCUUCAAAAAUCAUUAAUCGAUCUCGUCGGAAACCCAUCCAAUCUUUUUUCAACAAUCAUUCAUUUUCGUCGGUACGUACCUCAAAUAUAUUCUUCCACAACAGUGUUAUUUUUUUCACCUAUGAAUCCUCAAUCUAAUACUGUAUCUUUUGUCUAAUUUUUUUUUGCCUCAUCUCCUACUUUUUGUUCAUACCAUCUCCUCAAUUUAAGAGACUCUUUGUUCGAUUUGAUCAUGUUGUUUUGUUUUUUUUAAUUGUUCGCGUGGCGUAUUUGAUGUAAUACAAUUUCCUUAGGUGUUUUUGUUUACUAUCGGCAGGAUUUGUUUAGAUCGUUGUAUAAUGUGGUCCUGUCUUCAUGGUUUAGUCAUAAAGUAGUUGUUUCUCAUGCGUUUUAUUCUAUAAUUAUAAGAUGAAAGUUUAAUUAUUUAAAUCCAAGCUUGUAUUCCACACAUGAAACAACACAUCAUUCUCUUCAAAUAAAAUACACACACACAGACGAUCGAAUAGCUUAAAAUACACACACACACACACACCGGACAUAGAUUAGACACACAGUCGAUCAGGCCGGUUUUUAUUAAUCUUCCCGUACGUAGAACACAGUGAGAUAUAUAUUUAAUUAUCCAAACAUAAAAAGAUAUAUCGGUCAACAUGGUUUGUGGCAGAUGCAACGUUUGCGGAAACCAUGACAGUGACCUCCAUGGAAGCCCUCGGUUUUGCAAAUAUAAUUACAUUUCCUGGAUCUGAAGCACAAUCCUCUGAACCGGUGACUCCUCGCUUUGCAUGUCCUCCAAGCCGCUACCUUCUCGGUUCCUAAAUCCCCUGGAACAAAAAAAAAAAACAGAGAUCGAUCAGGUUGAAAGAUAGAUUCAUUUUGAUAUCAAUAUAAUAUAUUUUUACGAACCAGUGGAGAAGAGAAGCAACAUGAACACGAUGAUGAUCGGGAAGACAUGCUUCAUGAUGACGAUCUUACGUAGACUAGAGAAAUAAGAAUGAUGAAGAUAGAACAACACGCACAUACAUAUAUAUAUAAAACAUAAUCAACCGUGUGUUGUGAAUUAUCAUGCAAUAAUUCGAGAUGGGCUGAUGACAUAUAUAAUAUUACUGCAUAUAUAGAGAGUCUGAGUUUCUUUAAAAUUCAGUGGGAUGAUGAUGCUAACCGCAUUAAUAAAGUGCUACAGUUAAUUUUUAAUACAAAUUUAUACAUGAUAAGAUUGAAUUUGGUAACAGUCCAGCUAUCAAAUUCUUAAUAUUUUAAUUUUUCAACGAAAAAUAAUUUAAAUCAAAAAUUGGGACAGAUUCCUAAUGCUCAUCAAAUCAAGAACAAGUUAUCUAAAAACGCUAAAAAGAAAUAAAUUACGAAUGUUGAGAUCUACUCAGCUUGAAAUAUUUAAUUGUAUAAAUAAAGUGGUUGAUACCAGAUUUGUGAGAAGCCAUACCACUGGUGGGGACGAAAAACGAUAAGAGAUUUUUCUUCUUUUUACCACACCCUGUUCGCUACCUGCCCUCACCCACGACCCGGCCCAUACUGGGGAUAUGAAAGUGAUGUGACAGGAAAACGACGAUCGAGUUACCAGAGAAGGUUGAAGAAAAAGAACUUGAGAGAAUUAAACGAUGUGUUUCCGUAUUAAAUCAUACUUUUUACAUUAUAUGCUUACUGUUGAGAGUUCAAAGUUAUAUUGUGUUGUAUCUGCUAACAAUUUCCCUUUUUGUAUUGAUAAAUAUUGUCCAGGUGAGAUUGGUGUUGAAAUUGAUUUACAAUGGAGUAGAUUAAAACCGUUGGAGGAGUUCCAAGAGUACUUCUCUUGGGUGGUCCACAACCUUCUGAAUUCUGGUAAUGUUGUACCAUCCAUUUUCAGUCUUAAAAAACAUGUCAGGUGUACCAAGUUCUGUAGCUCUGUUGUUGAGUUUCCAGUGACGAUAAAAUAAUCUACUUAUUACUUGUAUCAAUAUUUAUAUAAUUGAUAUUAUUGAGGCCCACUAUCUCAGGCCCAGGUGACUAAUUCAGUCACUUGGGCCAAACCCUAAGUAUAAAUACAUAUAUAAUGUUGUUAUAGGUUAACUUUUCAUCUUCUUCAAUCCAUUUCUCACGCUCCGUCGUCUUAAUCUCAAAACCCUAGCUCCUGCUCUCUCUCAAUCUCAGUUCUACUCACUCUGUUUGUUGUAAAUCUUUAUCUCAUCAAUAAAUAAAUCAAACUCGUGUCUACUGCGAACUUGUAUCGAUUGUCUUUGUUUUCAUUCCACAAUCUCUCACGCGCUCGUUCGAUUCUCGUCUCAUCGAUUAUUUUCAGAUAUUAUCAGUGGCUAAGACAAAUAAUGAUGUAUAAUGGAGAUGAAAUCUAGAACAAGUUAUCUAAAAAUACCGACAAGAAAUCAGAAAUUUUGAGAUCUCUAUUCGGCUUGAAUGAUUUAAUUAUGUAAAUAAAAUGAUUGAUAUUUGAUACCAGAUUUACCAAUUAUUUAUUAAUUUAAUUAACAUCAACCCUUGAGAUCGAUCAUUUACCACGUCGUAUGGAAUGGGCAUGGGCGUAACCGUCUCCAAUUUGGACAUGUCGACCAUGAAACCAGGGUUUGGAAGGUCUGGCUCUCGCUUAGUGUUGACCAGCAGACCCCUUGACCUCUUGUUUGAGAAUCUCAUUGCUGCGUUUUCUUUAUUAAGAGUAAUUAGUAUUUGAUCAUUUAAGUUAAUUAUACAAUUAGUAUUUUUGAUAUCAAGUUAGUUUACAAGGCCCAAUCUGGAUGUUGGCCCAUUUAGAACUAGGGUUAAAUAUAGUAUGAUAUAAAUACUCAACUUGUAAUAGUUUAAUAUACUUUUUCAAAUAUAUUCAAAACCCUUGGGUUUCUUCCCCAACUGUCUCUCCUUCUCCAGUCGCGACCUUCCGUCCAAACCCUAAGUGACCCUUCGGCUCACGCUCCGACUACUCGAUCUCCGACUUUGUGAUGGUAUCAGAGCCUCUCGAAGUGCUGCGCUGCUAAAACGACCACACCACACUGUCCUCAGUGAAGAGCAAAGGAAGCUAGCGACACAAAAGGAAAAAAAAACGACUCUGUCAGGCAUCCGUCUACACCUCUCCAAAACAAAGGCUGGUAUAUCUAAGACCUUGCUUGUGAUAAAUCUAGAAAUCAUAUAUGUUGUGUAUGCUAUAUAUACUGAAACUCUUAAAUACAUGAAACCACCUCUUGCAUGUUCAUGUAUGAUGUUCUGUGUAUCACUGUUGGUUCUAUUUGUUAUAUUUACUGAUCUACACAUAUCAUGCGUUGUGUUUGCCAUUCCUGUGAUGUUGUUGCUUGCAUGUUCUAUUAGAUCUAUGUGCAUGCUACCCUUUCAUCUAAGAUCAUCCUCUAAUGGUGAAACUAAUGAUCUCCAUGACUCUUCAAUGAGAGUAUUCGUGUUUAGGUGUGAUAUGAGAUCAUCCUCAGAUCACAUCAUACUAGACAACUUGGACAUUCUAUGUCCAUGGCUGUUACUGAUUAGAUCAUCCCACUUAUUAACUGUCAUUCUCAUAACUCUUUUAUGUUCAUUCUCAUUGACUGCCAUUCUCAUGACACGUUUAUAUUACAUCAGUAAUGUUAGGACACUGUUAAGGAUGAAUGUUUUUAUUAUGUUACUUCCGCUGCCUACUGACUAUUCAAUUAAGAAUAAGCAAUGCUUACAAUCCAAAUCAAUCAAAGAUGGGCUGAGAACCAUCAUCAAAUUAUCACACUCUGGUCACUUCAAAUCAAUCCGAUUACCAAUCCAAAAACUUCAUCCAUGCAUUUUAAUGUCAAAUCAAAUUUGUAAUAUGUAUUUUUUGAUUCUUUCAUCUUGUUUGAAUUAUACUUAUGCUAUACUAAUACAAUUUUAUCACCGCAAACCACAUUACAGAAUAAUCAUCAUGACUGAUAAUGAGAAUGCCCAAUCCAUUCAGAUUGUGAGAAAGAAACCACUGGGAGGUCCACUGUUUGAUCCCACAUCUGUGUACUUUUUUAAACCUUCUGACUAUGGCCCUCCUUCCAUCAUAAAUGUCCUACAGGGUAGCCAAAAUUACUACCCAUGGAAUAGGGAAAUGACAACCAUGCUCAUAACUAGAAGAAAAUUGGGAUUUGUCAAUGGAUCCAUCAAGGAACCAUCCCAAAAUGAGGAAGAAGAGCAUGAAGCUUGGAUUACUUGUCAUGGGAUAAUCCGUCAGUGGAUUUGGAGCUCUGUCUCUCAGGAGAUAGCCUCCCAAAUUAUGUAUACAGAUGAUGCUGCAAUCAUUUGGGCUGAUCUCAGAGAUCAGUUCAAACAGUCAAAUGAGACACAUCUGUUCCAACUGACACAAGACAUUGCCCUACUCCAACAAGGAUCAAACACUGUAUCUAAGUUCAGUGCCACUCUUAAGACAUUGUGGAGGGAAGUGGAUGCUUAUGGGGAAGUUCCAAGAUGUAGUUGUAUCACCUGCACAUGUAAUGUGAAUGGGAGAGUGAAUGAAAGGGAAGAAAGGCUAAAAAUCAGGAAGUUUUUAAUGGGUCUGAAUGAUAACUUCAGACAUAUUAGAUCCACCAUCCUCUCAAUGGACAAACUCCCAAACUUUGGGAAAGUAUUUUCAAUGGUCAUACAUGAGGAAGCCCAACAAAAACUGACCAGCAGCUCAAACCCAAACCAAAGCUCUGCAUUUUAUUCUGCAAAAGGGAAAGCACCCUUCCAAACAACAGUCAAACCCACAGAUACACCAUCCUCAUCCAAUCCUAAUCAAAGGAAAAGGCCCCCCACUCCAACUGAACCAAUAUAUUACAAGAGUGGGAAACAAGUCAAUAAAAGAUAUUACUGCUUUCACUGUGCUGUAUUUGGACACAGUGAUGAGAAGUGUUUCAAUCAACAUGGAUAUCCUUCUAGAAACACUAGGGCCAAUCCUGCAACUCCAACACCAUCUGUGGUUAACAAAGCACAGGGCUCUGCUAAUUGUGUGAACACUGAUCAGACUUGGACCCCAUGGAACAAUGAUGAAAAAAGGGCUGAAUCUCCUGAAAACCCCAUUGGACCAUAUGGCUUCCCACUAUAUUCUGAGAAAUACAAUCCGAGGCCACUACCAAAGUACAAGGAUCCAGGUAAAGCAAAUUCCAUUUUUAACAAAUAUUCUAAUAUCUACUGGAUCAUUGACUCAGGUGCCUCUGAGCACCUGAGUGGAAAUGAAUCUCUAUUCCAAAAACUCAUCAAGUGUGAUCCCUUCAAGAUCUCACUGCCCAAUGGGGACAGUCAAACAGUCUCCUUAAAGGGUGACAUCUCUGUCUCACCCAACAUCACACUGAAGGAUGUAUAUUUUAAUCCAUCCUUUCAAGUAAACUUGCUAUCCAUUAGCAAGUUAACUCAAUAUGAUACCUACUCAGUUCAAUUUUCUAAAUCAUGUGCAUUUAUAUAUGACAAGGUUCAGAUGAAGGAAGUUGGUCAGAGUAGGAUGGAGAAGGGACUGUAUCUGUUAUCACACACCAGCCAACAUGAUUCUUUUGCAGGUGCCACCACAACAUCUACAUGGCACAGGAGACUUGGUCACACUUCAAGUGACAGGCUAAAACACAUUUUGAACAAUCUAGAUUUUAAUUAUUCAAACUCUUCUUUUACUUUUGAUAAACAUUGUGAUAUUUGUCAUUUUGCCAAACAACCUAGGAAAUCAUUUCCACUUCAUGCAUCUAGGACUAAACAUGCAUUUGAUUUACUUCACAUGGAUGUGUGGGGGAACUUUCACACUCCAACAAUCCAUGGAAAGAGAUAUUUUCUAACUGUGGUUGAUGAUUACACUAGGUACACAUGGACUUAUCUUAUAUCUAUGAAGUCUGAAUGCUUUACUAUUUUUAAAAAAUUAUAUACUCUUAUUGAUAACUAGUUUAACAUUUCUGUCAAAUCAAUUAGGACUGACAAUGGUGGAGAAUUUUUUUCUUCAGCCAUGAAUGAUUUCUUAAAGACAAAAGGAAUCAUCCACUACUCCAGCUGCCCCUACACACCACAACAGAAUGGUGUGGUUGAGAGAAAACACCAACAUCUCUUAAAUGUUGCUAGAGCAUUGAAAUUUUAAUGCUCCCUCCCAACUGAGCUAUGGGGAUAUGCAAUUCUCCAAGCCACUUACAUCAUUAAUCUGCUACCAUCUAAGGUAACACAAAAUUUAUCCCCAUAUGAACUCAUGCAUUCCAAACAACCAAACUAUGAAGGACUUAGAACCUUUGGUUGUUUGUGUUAUGCAACUUGUCUUGUAAAAGAAGAUAAGUUCUCCCCUAGAGCCAAAAAAUGCAUAUACCUAGGUCAUCCCCCAACUCAAAAAGGCUCCAUCAUUUAUGAACUAGAUAAUCAACAAAUCUCUGUAAGCAGAGAUGUUACAUUUUAUGAGGAUGAAUUCCCACUAAACCAAAACAGCUCAGAAGAAACCAAGAGCAAUACAACAACUGAGAAACUAAAUGAUAUACUACUAAAUGAUUCUGACCUCUCAGAGGAAUAUUCAAUAUCUCAAAUUGACUCACAAAUUCAAACUUCAACAGAAUCAAACUCUGAGUCAUCAGAGUCAAUUCCAAAAAAUCCAAACUCUGAAAUUCACACUCAAACAACAUCGAACCCUGAAACAUCAGGAACAACACAAGAACAAAACAUAAGUGUUGAUACUACUUCAAACACCCAACUAAACUCAAGGUAUCCAAAGAGACAAACAAAACUUCCCAUAAAACUGAAUGAUUACUUCUGCUCAUUUGCAACAAGCUGUGGAAAAUCAAAAGGCACCUCAUAUCCAAUGCAUGACUAUCUAACAUACAAGAGGCUGUCCACUGCCCACACUGAUUUUCUGGACAAAAUCUCCACAACCACAGAACCAACAUCUUUCAAACAGGCUAGCCAAAGUCCUGAAUGGGUAAAGGCCAUGAAUGAUGAACUUGCAGCCCUUAAGCUCAAUGACACAUGGGAAAUAGUGGCAAAACCAAAAGAAAGAAAGAUUGUUGGGUCAAGAUGGGUUUUCAAAGUAAAACACAAAUCCAAUGGUGAUAUUGAAAGACUAAAAGCAAGGUUAGUUGCAAAAGGUCAUACUCAGGUAGAAGGUUUUGACUACAAAGAAACCUUCUCCCCUGUUGCCAAAAUCAUAUCUGUCAGGACCUUAUUAGCAGUAGCAUCAAUCAAAAACUGGACCACAUACCAAAUGGAUGUGAGCAAUGCCUUUCUACAUGGUGACUUGUCUGAGGAAAUUUACAUGUCCCCUCCUCCAGGUAUGCUAUCACCAGAUGACACAAGAGUCUGUAGACUUAAAAAAUCUUUAUAUGGUCUAAAGCAGGCAAACAGAAAUUGGUAUGAGAAACUAACUUCUGCUUUAACCAAAUUUGGCUACACACAAUCUCACUCUGACUACACACUAUUCUUUAAAUCAUCCACAAGCUCAUAUACCUGUCUACUCAUUUAUGUGGAUGAUUUAAUCAUAUCAGGUGACAAUGAAACUGAGAUUCAAAAGCUAAAAAAAUACCUACACCUCCAAUUCCACAUAAAAGAUUUGGGUAAACUCAAAUACUUUCUAGGAAUUGAGGUAUCUCAAUCAAACCAGGGUAUUUUCCUAUCACAAAGAAAAUAUGCCCUUGAUAUUUUACAUGACUUUAGACAAUUGGGAUCCUCUCCAUCUAAAAUCCCAAUGUCCCACAACUACAAAAAUCCAGAAAAGGAUGCCCCAAUGAAGGAUCCUUCAAUUUACAGAAAGUUAGUUGGGAAAUUGCUAUACUUAACAAUUACAAGACCUGAUAUAGCAUUCUCAGUUAGCCAUCAUAGCCAAUUCUUGGCAGACCCCAAACUAUCACACUUUAAUUCUGCUAUGAAGAUAUUGAAAUACAUAAAAGGGGCUCCAGGAAAAGGCAUCCUAUAUAAGAGAAAUGCACCCCUUCAACUAGAAGCUUUUUGUGAUGCUGAUUGGGCUGAUUGCCCUAACACCAGGAAAUCCAUCACAGGUUACACAAUACUACUAAGGGGAUCAGCUAUAGCAUGGAAAUCAAAAAAACAAACAACAAUAAGCAGGUCAUCUGCUGAAAGUGAAUAUAGAGUUAUGGCUUCAACUGUAUGUGAGAUAAUGUGGUUACACUACUUUCUGAAUGAUUUACAGGUUAAACCAUCUGGAGAAACUCUGCUACACUGUGACAAUAUGGCUGCAAUACACAUUGCCUCAAAUCCAGUUUUUCAUGAACACCAAACAUAUAGAAAUUGAUUGUCACUUAAUUCGUGAGCAUCUGCAAGCAGGUCUAUUCAAAUUACAACAUAUCUCGACAACAUCUCAGGUGGCAGAUAUAUUGACAAAGCCAGCAAGUCUAGAAUCACUGAGAAGUCUACUACCCAAGCUGGGACUCUAUGACAUACACUCUCCAGCUUGAGGGGGGGUAUUAAGAGUAAUUAGUAUUUGAUCAUUUAAGUUAAUUAUACAAUUAGUAUUUUUGAUAUCAAGUUAGUUUACAAGGCCCAAUCUGGAUGUUGGCCCAUUUAGAACUAGGGUUAAAUAUAGUAUGAUAUAAAUACUCAACUUGUAAUAGUUUAAUAUACUUUUUCAAAUAUAUUCAAAACCCUUGGGUUUCUUCCCCAACCGUCUCUCCCUCUCCUGUCGCGACCUUCCGUCCAAACCCUAAGUGACCCUCCGGCUCACGCUCCGACUACUCUAUCUCCGACUUUGUGAUUCUUUGCAGAAAUUCCUCAUUGCAUCGACAAGGCAUUACAUGUUCCACUCGAACAUGAAUUCUCUUCUUGAUCAUCCGAUUACCGACCUUAUAACUAAAAUAAAAAUCAUACGACAAUUGAUGAUCAAGAUCAAAAUUAACGAAUGAUAAAUCUGAUCAAUAACGGAACCGAAUUACCGAAAGCGUCCUCACCUCCUUGUUAAUCUCGAUCCCGAUGGCCCGCUUCGUCCGUGAUAAAACUUAUGCGGCAUUCCCUUGUGGAUCGCCCCCCGUUCACUUUGAUAUCGACGUAAUCUCCGAUCUUGAAUGUCCUUAAGUACGUACGUUGUCGAUCAGGGAAAUGCAACUUUUCUUUCUAAACGCUCGAGAGAAAGAAUCGCGAGUACGAGAUCGAAUUCCAUGUCCAACCGGUAUCUCCGAUACCUCUUCUUUCUCCUUGAAUGCGUGGGUGGUGUCAACUAUCAAUAGUCAAUACUCAAUACAAUCGCAUCAAUUUAAUUAGCAGUUCUCUGACGGAUCAUUUCAAAUCCGAAAAUAAAACCCGAAUCCGGUAAAACCAAACCUAAAGGCUAAAGGCUAAAGUGCCAGUCCCAGUCUCCACUGGAGUUGCUAAUAGCUAAAGUUGGUCAACAAAAAGUUACAGCUUCAUUUCCCUGCCGAUCACAAUAAAUUCACAAUAAACACACCUUCAUACGGGCUCCCGGCGGCUCAUUCAUCUGACCAUAGACUAAACUUUUGAUUCUGUAAUAUUUUGUUCGUUAAUAACUCCGGAUUCGGUUUCAUUUAAUAUAAAACCAUAUUCUAUUAUAAAAAUGAGGUUUCGUCACUUCAUGCCAAGGUAAAUAAUUGAGUUAAGGUAAAUUUUGUGAACUGGUGUGGUGGAAUAUGAAGUGGGUAAAUAAACGAAAGGGAUCGCAGCAAACCUAUCUGGCUAUCCCUACAUCACAUGGGAAACCAUGACAGUUCUACGUAAAUACAAAAUAAAUCCAGCUCUCAGAUUUUUGUUUGAAAAAAUAUGAUACGAAAUCCAAACAUCUCACUUCUUUCUUUUUGAUUCUUUAAAUCUUGCAUUGACUCCGUCAGUUAAUUCCAGAUGUGCAUAUAAUAUAACAGAAACCUGACUUGUGUCUUUCUUUUUUCCUUUUUCUUCUUGCUUAUUUUCUGUUAAUUUCAUUCUGGACAAUGCAACAAGAACGUCCCUGUGAUCUCAAGCUUCAGAUCAAUGGAGAACGUAGCUUUUUCAUCAAUCAAGUAAGUAUGAACAAAAUCUUUUGUUUUCUUUCUUCUUACCAGUCAGUCUACCAGCAGGGCCAGGAGAAUAAAUUAUAUAUAUUAUACUAUCAUUUUUUUGAUGUUGAUGUAGAAAAUACUGGGAUCCUUUUCGGGGAGGAUGAGGAAGAUGACAACAAAGCAAGAGAAAACUAGAGAUCGACCUUUCAUAGGAGUUGAUGAGAUGAAUAUGCUGGAUUUCCCAGGUGAACCAGAUAACUUUGAACUAGUUGCAAGAUUCUGCUACAAUAACGGAAGAAUUGCAAUGAAUCCAUCCAACAUCUGUGCUCUUCAUUGCUCUGCUGUGUUCAUGGAGAUGACAGAGGAGUUGGUUCCUUGUAACCUUAUCAGCCAGGCAGAGACCUUUCUUGAUGGACUCUUCUACUGGACAUGGGACGAGAUCCUAACAUCUGUUAAGACCUGCGAGCAUUUCUUCCAAAAUGCAGAAUCUUCUGGUCUACUCCAACGCCUUUUGUCUUCCCUCUUGGCUAAGAUCUCAGCUAAUUCAGAAGCAUCACUGUUAACAAACUCAACCCUUUUAGGCUAUUCUUCUUCAUCCUCACCAGACACGUCUCAUUUUGGAUUCUCCAACACUCCCAAAAGUCACGAUGCCAUCAGACCAAGCAAGGAGUGGUGGUUUGACGACUUGACUAUCUUACAUCCCAAUAUCAUAACAAAAAUCAUGACAAGUCUCAAUGCUUAUGGCAGUGACAACAAGAACCUUAUCCUCACCAAGUUCCUCCUCCACUACCUCAACAAGGUUACUCACAAUGGUGACCAGAGCAAACAAAUCUACGGUGGUCUUGCCGACACAGUGAUAUACGGUGUGGUACUAAUUGGUCGAAAGGCAUUCUCUUGCAGAGGCUUGUUUUGGGUGUUGAGAGUGGUAACCAGUCUUGGUAUCAGCAAAGAUUGCAGGCAGAACUUGGAGAGCUUGAUGGGUCAAAUGCUUGACUAUGCAACUCUAGAUGAUCUCUUGGUGUCAGGACACGGAGCUGUGUAUGAUGUUAAUCUUGUGUUGAGAUUGGUGAAGAUCUUCGUCGAUGGUGCAGUGACAUUACCAAGGAUGAAAAAGAUUGGAAAUCUGUUAGACAAAUAUCUGGGAGAAAUAUCACCAGAUCAGAACUUGAAAAUAGACAAAUUUCUUAGGUUAGCUAAAAGCUUGCCAGAUUCCGCUAGGAACUGCUUUGACGGGGUUUACAGAGCUAUGGACAUAUAUCUUGAGGUAAAAUAAUAUCAAAUUCUAGCAUGCUGUAUGUCUUAUGCCAUUAUCAGGUAUAUUCAUAUAAUAUCUAGUUGAUUUUCAUUGAUGCAGUCCCACCCAGCACUGUCAUUGGAAGACCGGUCGAGAUUGUGCCGGUGCUUAAACUAUGAGAAACUCACCUGUGAAGCCUGCAGAGACCUUGCAAAGAAUCCAAGAAUUCCUCCAAGAGUAGCAGUUCAAGCACUACUUGUGCUGCAGCAUACACAAGUUCGUCCUCAGGCCAUGGGAUUUCCAUGGCCUACAGAAACACAAAGGAAGGCAGUAUACCAUAAGGGUCUAGUGACGCCGAAGAUAGUUCUACCUUCACCAUCAUCAUAUUUUCCUGAGCCAAAAGAAGAUCCGAAGUUUAAUAUGAAGAAGACAAGAUUGAAAGUGACAGACCUAGAAAAUGUGUGCAACAACAUGAAAGAUAAAAUGUCAUUGAUGGCAAAAACUAAUGACAUUGACAUUGAGAAAAACAGACGCAUUAAUCACCAUCACAAAGCGCACAAUGUCAGCAGAUUAAGCCUACCAAGACUUUGUUGAUUAACCAUUGGUAGGAAAAACUACUAGCUUCCUUGCAAAGUAGCAGAUUCUAGUUUGAUUGGAAGCAAGAAAAAGAACAUAGUUUUUUUCCUGCUUCUGCAGUGCACUUUGCAGCCUAUAGCUCCGUAGGUUGGCGGACUAUAUAAAGAUGGUGGAAAAUUAAUAUUGGCUAUUAAGAUAAUAUCUUCACAAAAAAAGACACAGUAUAAAAGUUUUUUUUUAAGCCUGUUUGAUUCAUGUUAAUAUAAAAAUACUGUGAUGCAUUCAAGACCAUAAACACCUGAGAAUCCUAAAUUAGAAGUUUCAAUGAAGGAAAAACGUUCUUUAAUGAAUAUAAGCCACAGAGCAUCACCAAUUCACCAUAAACAAUACUCUUAAAAAUGAUUUUAAAUAAGAAUAAAAAAAGUAUGCUGGUGAGAAAACCAGUAUAGACUAUCAAUAGGUAAAACAUGUAAACAACUUAUAAACUAAAUUCAAAAGCCUUCACCCUAUUUUACUCUGAUGGGGUGUUGUAAUUGUUGUUGCUUGUUUAUUCGAUUCCUUGGAACUAAGUGUCACACAAUUACACCUUCUGAUUGACGCAUUCCUUCAUCAUUCACAACAUUCAAUUCAAGUUUUUCCAUCAUCUUCUUCCACGAAUCUAUGAACCUCGGUGGAAACUUCUUCUUCAAUACUCCACAUAUCCAUUCUGCCUCCUCUUUCUUCUCAUUCUUCACUAGCCCCUCAACCAAUAUCUUAGCUGGUACAAAAUCUGGAUACUUCUUCUUCAUAAUCCCUUCUUUGCAAACCUUAAAUCCCAUAUCAAAAUCCUUAUUCUUACACAAAAGCCUUGAAAAAUUCCUAUAAGUUGCAGCAUUUGGGCGUACAUUUUUCUCCUUCAGAUUGCUGUACAAAUUCUUGGCGUCUAAUAAUUUUCCAUUCUUACAAUAGCAUGAUAUCAGAAGAUUGAAGGUAACAAUAUCUGGCUUAAUUCCAGUUUUCUCCAUUUCUUCCAUCAACUCCAGCAUUUCCCCAGGCUUCCCAUAAUUGCUAAUAUAAGUGGCUUUGACAUUGAACACGGCAUGGUCAGGCAUGCAUCCACUUCCCACCAUUUUCACCCACAUCUUCUCUGCUUCCUCCUUUUUUUUCAUCUUAUAAAAUGCAUCGAUAAUUGGCGUGUAAGUAAAAGGUGAAACCUUCAUCUUCUUCUCUUCCAUCUCCUCCAGUGUCUCGCAUGCCUUUUCCGGAGAACCUAAUUUGCAUAGGGAAUUGAUCAAUAUCCCAUAGGAGAUGGAGUUGGGAGCAAUAAAAUGUUUCUUAGAGAGAUCAGCGAGAAGAUCUGGGACACGAGAGUGUUGGCCAUCGUGAGCAUAGGACGUGAGCAGUGCAUUGAGGGAGAGAGAAGUUCUGGAAGCAGUGAAGCCGAGAUUGGGCAUAUUAUCAAAGAUGGCAUGUGCACGAUUGAGCAUGUUGGCGUAGGCAUAGGAAACGAUGAUAGUGGCGAAGUAAGAUUCUUGAUUUAUAUUGGUAGCGUCCUUCAUCUUUUCUUCCAACAGGGUUUCGAUCUCGGUGAAUUUGCGGUCCUUAACAAGAUGCUUCACCUCCGAGUCGAUGGCGAAGAGUUUGGGCUGGGGUUUCCCAAAUUCAGCGAUGAUAGUGGUAGAGAAUGGACGGAGAUGACGGAGGAAGUAGUGGAGAUGGCAGGAAGAGGCGUAAUGGGCGAUCGCCAUUUCCUUUCCGGUGAAAACUGGGGUUUGUUAGGGUUUUUCAAUAAACGCCGCCGACGAAUUAAAAGAAGAAAAUCGUAAUGCCUGAUAAGUGAUAAGUAAAUGCUAUAAAAGGAAAUACUUAAUUUUCUAUAAGACGCCUCAAAAUAGAGUUAUCUCAUUUAGAUCCAAAGAAAUAAACAGGUUUUCUACUGCUCAGUGCUCAUUGUCACGGCGACGAGUCGACGACGGUCCAUCCCAGAGUCUACCUAUGACGGCAUUUCUUCUCCGAAACCCUAGAAUCGUCUUACCUUUCUUCCACCAUCAAAAUGCUUUUUUCUCUUCCUCCGCCAAUGCCACUGCAUCUACGCCCAUUGUCUCCCGCCGGCGCUUCAGGUCCGCGAUUGUUUCCUCCUCCGACCCAGAACGAAUCUUCUCAAUGCUCUAUUCUUCCGACUUACUCCUCCAAAAUCGAGAAACUGCAAACAUCGCCGUCUCUAAAAUUUCCAGACGCGGCAGGAGGGAUCUCGUGGAGAAACUUCUCGAGCCUGUGAGGUUAAGAUCGGACAAUGAUGAGAAAGGAUUUAUUCGUGUUAUGUGGUUGUACUCCUCUGCCGGAAUGGUGGAACAUGCUCUGAAGACAUUCGACGAAAUCCCCAGUCGGACUGAAAAGUCGGUUUGUGCUCUACUUGGAGUUUACCUCGAUAACCACCUACCAGGUAUAUGUAUUAUUAUAUCUGAUUAAUCUUGAUCGCCUUAAUUUGUAUAAUCUUCUUCUCUCAGGCCGUGCUAGAGAAUUUUUCACGCGUGUUCCGGAAGAGAUACAAAUUGUCCCCGGAAUAUCAUCAUGGAACCUUUACCUCAAAGCACUUUGUGACGAUGGAGAAAUCACAACUGCUGCUGAAUUGGUACUUGGGAAGCUACAUGCAGAGAACAAUAUCGAACCAGGCAUCAUUUCUCACAACAUACUCCUUGACGCCUGUCUAAAAACAGGAGAUCAAUCUGGGUUUGAUGCUAUUAUCCAAGGAAUUACCAGAAAGGGUCUUCAGCAUGAUGCGGUGACAUACAAUAGCAGAAUCACAAUGUUGUGUGGAAAUAAAAACAAUCCCUGUGAGGCAGAAAAACUGUUCGAUGAAAUGCUAUCUAAAGGACUGAAACCCAAUUCUGUCAGCUACAACACAUUAUUAACCGGUUUCUGUAAGAACGGAGAACUGAUGUCCGGGGUUAGAUGGUUCAACAGAAUGCGAGACAAAAACAUGGUGGAUGGUGGGAGCUUUGUAAUGGUGAUGAAACUGAUGGUGGAGAAAGGAGAGAUGACCCAAGCUGUGAAUAUAUGCAAGGAGUGCUUGGGGAAGAAAUGGGCUCCUCCUUUCUAUGUGAUUAGAACUAUGGUAGAUGGACUGGUGAAGGAUUCCAUGGUUAAGGAGGCGAGGUGUGUUGUUGAGAUGAUGAAAGAUUGUGUCAAAGGACCUGCUCUGAUGGCGUGGAUUAAAUUUGAGAGCGCUCUGCCAUUGUAGUCAACGCCAUCCUUUCACUUUCACUUUGUUUCAUCAGAAUUUAGAAAUAUCAAAUUUCCUUCAAUUUUCAUUUUUCAAGGUGCAUUUUGUAGUCUACCGCAUUACCCCAACUCAAAGUGUUCUAUCUUCAGAAUUAUCAAUCUCCUUUCGGUCAGGAGAGGUAUUUAUAGUGUUUUGCUCUCACGGCUCCUGGGCCUUAGCCCGCCUGGUUAACUCGCGCGCUUGGGUCCAUGGGACGGCUGGCUCGGUUCAUGGACUGCUGGACGGUUCAUGGUACCAACAAUCAGAUUUCGAGAAAAACAGAAGAUCAAAAUCAAAUAUCUUAACUGAAGUUAAUCUUAUUUUUACAAGUAAAAAUGUCUACCCUAAUGUAAAUUAAUUAUACAGUCUUGGAUCUUCAAAAAUCUUAAAAGUUAAUGUGGGGAAACGGUUACUCCAUUUUUUUUGUCAUGACCCGAUAGUCAUCAGUAGGCUGUAGGACAGCGUGAGCACGUUUGAUUAACGACUAACUACUAAGAUCAAUGGUGUGGUCAAUUGACUUUUAUCGGAUCUAUUGGUCGGGUCGUAUGGAUAUUUUUUGGACCAUGAUUAAUCGGAUCUCUCCCCCUCUCUGAAGGUUGAACCACGCAUAACAGAUCAUCUGCUCUUUUCUCCAUUGCAGUUUGUUCCAGUGUUGAUUGAUUUUGACGGGAGGAGCCCAGAAGCAGUGGGGGAUCUCUUGAGGUAAAUUUUCCUGAUCCGAUGCUCUGAGUUGAUUUUAAGAGUUCCGCAAACAAUGGUUCUUGUCCUAGCUCUUGGCGAUCUUCAUAUACCGCACAGGGCCCAUGAUCUUCCGGCGAAAUUCAAGUCCAUGCUCGUUCCUGGAAAAAUUCAGCACAUCAUUUGCACGGGAAAUCUUUGCGUAAAGGUAUUACCACUUCUUGGAUUAUUUUAUAAUUAGAAAAACGAUUUGGGGACUUUUAGGUUGUUCGAACGAGUCUGUCGGAUGCUUACUGGAUAAUCAAAUAAACAUACAACGAUUAUUAUUAAGAGAAAUGAAGGGGAUCGAUAAUCUUUUUUUUUGCCUUGGGUCAUUGUUUCUUUUGGAUUUCUAAUACUCUACUGAUCGAUGAAUAAUGAUGCCUUGUAAAUUUAUAUUCUAAUGGUAACCACAUUGCACUUUAUUUUCUGAAAUAAUUUGUAUAGUGUUUGUUCUGUUUGCUAUCAUUCAUCAACUCUCUGAUUUAUAUAAUUCUAUCUUAUAAUAAACUUCCUGACAUAUUCAAUCAUGUUUAAACUCAGGAAGUUCACUCUUAUUUAAAAAGCCUAUGCUCUGACAUGCAUAUCACCCACGGUGAAUAUGAUGAGGAUUCUCGCUAUCCUGAGACAAAAACUCUUAGUAUUGGCCAAUUCAAGAUCGGACUAUGCCAUGGAUAUCAGGUAUCUGUAUGAUUCACACUUUAUUUCCCAUUUAGAAUUUACAACUUAAUUACUAGUAAGACAAUAAUUUCAUUUUAUUUAAAUUAUUUUUUAUUCCAUUUUGCGAUAAUAGAACUAUUGAAAGUCAUAUAUAAUAUUUUGAGAAUUGAAAUGAUUAUGAAAGUAUUUAAACCUCAGUGAAGGUUGAAAUUUAGACGAUUGCCUGUUUUCAAAUUAUUUAAACCUUAGAAGGCUGAAAGCUCUGUAUGCUUAUGUUUGCAAAAUAUUGUGUACAUUGUACAAUGUUUGGUAUUGAUGUGUAAAUGCUUAAAUCAAUUUCCUGUUAUUUUUUAGAAUUUUUAGUACACUGAAAUCUGGUUUGCAGGAUUUGAUUUUGAUCUUGUGCAAUUUGACUAAUAAGUAGAAUGUUUAUCAUUAUUGAACAGUUGGAUGGAUUUUUUAUAUUUUCUGCUAAUUUACAUUAAAAAUACCAUGAUGUUCCUCGCCAACUUUUUUGUUUUGUUUUUCAUGUAAAUAAUUGUAUAAUCGUAUUAUUUUGUAGUCAUUUAUUUUUGUAACAAAUAGAAACAGUUGUUGCUCUUUUAAAUAUAUCUCGGACUUAAUAUCAAGUUAUCAAUGUUCUUGAUUUUCUUUUUUACAAAUGGUUGAAUUAUACCUAAACCUAAUGGUAAGAGAUUUCUUUCAUUCUUCGCAUUAAAUUUUCCCUUGUCAUAUAUAACUCAUAUUGCAAUUCCUUUUUAUGCUACUUUUGAAUAUGUUUAAAUCAGUUUUUUCUGGGGAUGAUUUUUGUAUAGAUUGUACCAUGGGGGGACUUGGAUUCACUGGCUAUGCUCCAGAGGCAGUUAGAUGUUGACAUUCUAGUGACUGGACACACACAUCAGUUUAAGGCCUACAAGCAUGAAGGUGGAGUCGUAAUAAAUCCAGGCUCUGCCACCGGUGCUUUUAGCAGCAUCACUGAAGAUGUUAAUCCAAGCUUUGUUCUGAUGGACAUUGACGGUCUGCGAGUUGUGGUGUAUGUUUAUGAACUCAUUGAUGGAGAAGUGAAAGUUGACAAAAUUGAUUUCAAGAAGACAUCUACUACCUGAUCCACACAUAAAACAUCUGGUGCAUUUUAUUUUCACUGAUCUGAAUGCUUCAUAGAUCAUUUUAAGGUAAGGAUUUAUAAUUGAACAGAAAAUUGUUGUGAUGUUUUUCAAUAUAUCGGAAUUUGGAGAUUGAUAGUUAAGGAUGUGUUUUGCAGAUUUGCCAUUAACUUAUCUUAUCACCUUUUCUUUUGUAAAUUUGCAAUUGGUAGUAUGUGAAAACGAUACAUUUGGACUUAAACGAUACGUUUUCGUCAAAUUAAGGUUAAGGUUAGGGUCUAAAUACUUUUUUUUGUGCAAAACUCCGUGAUCGAUUUGGAAUUGUUGAGGAAAUCAUAAAAUUCGGCCAUUGCCGCUUUAUUCCUAUAUGUGUUACCAAUUUUGUCCCUCAUUUUGUUUGUUUACAAAGAUGAUUUAAUGCUCUAGGAAAAACGCAACAUAUCGCUGCUUUCAUUGCAGCGUCCAGGUCCGUUAUUAUGGUUACUAGUGGGCGCCACACGCAUCUAGAUCGUGAUUUUUGAUUACCACGAAGAUAUCUUCUCUUCAUAGGUGUCGUUAGAUCGUGAUUGUGUUUUUCAACAAACUAUCCGACUUCUCAAUCAUUGGUGGAUGGUCUCGAACGAAUAUUUGGGUAGCCUUUUUUGCAACCUAGAAACCGCCUAAAUACUAGUUUUUCUUCUACGAUUUUCGUUGAUUCCUUACGAACGGAAAACCCUACACUUAAGGCGUAAUCGAAGUAAACAUUCUUGGCAUCCUCAUACGACUUAAAUCUUUCACCCACGAAAGUCACAUAGUCUCAGGUACAACUCGGUGCAUCAUGCCUCGUAUAUGACAGUUGCGAACUAGGUUGUACAUUGCACUCGUAUAUGACACUACAGGAAAACAGACUAAAAGGACGGACUUUUCCCUUGAAAGUGACGGAAAUUCGUCGUUUUUGCUCAUAGUGAUAGAAAUUCAGUCUCUUUCCACUUAGCGUAUCUUUAGGCAUCGCAUAGAUUAUUAUUAUAUGAAUCAUGGUCACAAUAUCUCCUAUAUAAUAUCAUCGUAUGUGAAUCAUGGUCGUACAAUUUAAUUACUCUUCGAUUUUCGAUGACAUUCAAUUAACUAUGUGUUUUUUUAAAGAUAUUAAAUAGAAUCAAUUGCGUUUAAAAUACCCUUGUUUUUUAUUUGUUCCAAAUAUAAUCUCAUGAUUAUUUUAAAAUUACUGUUAUGUCAUGGAAACUUAUCGGAUAUUCAACCUCUCCACAAUCGGGUAUUGUCACUCCCGAACCUGCAAUCAUCUGUUAAUACCCAAAUCGGAUAGUCUUCUCCAUCCCUAAAUCGACAAAAAUCAGAUCUCCGGGCUUAUUCCGACAAAUUAAGAUCGUUGUCUAAGAAAUUUCAAUUUUUCUUCAAUCUGUUCCAAGAAGAACCAUUGGUGGAUUCCGAACAGAUUGAUACCAAUUUCAUAGGUUGGGAUGACCGAAAUAUGCUCGAUGGAAAAAUUAAUAACCGUUGAAACGAAGUUAGAGUUUGCGAUCUCUCUAGGAAGCUAGGAUGCAUCGGUCUGAAAAUAAGUCAUGUAAGCUCAUCUUAGAAUUCUACAUCUAAUGGUACAAGUUUUGGUGUGGUGAUGAUCUGUGGACAGCCAACCAACCUCCUCGGAAAAUAUGGGGCAGAAGCGGUGAGUACACAAUAACUCAUCGAGAAUUCUGUUGAGGGGAAGAAUCAAAACACCGGUAAAAACCUUAUCUAGAAACACAUUAAAGUUCAGAGCUCAGAUGUGGAUUUCGGUGGAAAUUACGACCAACAAUCAUCUUCUCAGGUGAACAUUAUGAUGUCGGAAAAGAAUCGGGUAUUGGAGAAUGUUAAAACCUGGUGUAUUCUAACUUCAAGAUAGGAAUUUCAUCGAACAACUUAUUUGCAAACAUAUAUCAAUGGUUCUAAUACGACCAAUGAUAACACAGGGUAACGGGUUGGUCCAAUCAUUUAUCGUUGAACAAUAAAAAGAUAUAUUUUGGGGAAAAAUUAUCUAAUAACGUAUAAUGGUGAAUUAACAGGUUUGGUGAGUAUUCUUCAAGUCAUAAUGGUGUAAUAUCUUAUUUACACUAGUUUCAGGCGCGGUUCUGAAACCCAUAUUUCCGUCCGUCCGUCCACGAACCGUUCCUUCGUAGACGACGGACUGUCGAAUCUCGUCGACGCACCGAACUGCAGAAAACGUGCGCCCAUCUUACAUAUAUGAAUCUCCUUCCUGGUAAUAAUUAAAUGGUGGAAUUGAAAGAAUAUAUAUAUAGUUGUUGGAUCUUGAUUUGUUAUUGUGAUGACGAUAAUAAAUCCAAUUUUUUUGUAUAUCUAAAGUAGAUCUGUUGUUACAUCGAUCCAGCGAGCCAGACAUUUGAUUAAUUUGUAGAAUCGAUUCAAUAAUGUAGAUCGUAGAACAUGACAGACACCUCCGUCCAGCUGUUACACCUAACAAAACCAAAACAAACAUGUUUCCAUGUGGACGCUUCAUCAGUUUAUUAACAUAUGACUAAUUAUUAUACAAAUACGAUGUAAAAACUAAAACACAUAAAUAGUUAAUUUAAUCAUUCCAUAUUUAACGACUUACGUGAUUUAUUUUACAGUUUUACCCCUUCGAAUUUGGCGCGAAAAUCGACGUGUACAGAGAGCGCGAAUUUGGGAACGCAACUGGUCCCUUCUUUUUGGUGCGUGGGACCCGUCUGGAAAGAGAGAGAGGUGCAAUCUUUUAGCCUGAUCCUGUAUCUCUACCGUGCAUUAAAAUAUGAAGGGACGGAAGCCAAAGGAUGGCAGGCGAGGCAAAAGGUAGGGUUCAUCGAUCGAACCGCAUUCGUGCCGGUCACGACGAUUGGGAUGUGUGCAGGUGGCGAGUUUCCAUUGGCCCAACACACGUGCUUGGGAAUUCGAAGGACACCGCUUCUGUUAUAGAUAUGAGAGAAGAAGUGAAUGAACACUGUGAGAAUGCGAGAAACAGAUGGGGUGCACCUUGGAGAAGCAGACGUCUCUCUCUUUCUCUCUCCGUGUCUGGUCUGCUCCGUCUGUCUCUAUUUUUGUUUUUCUCCUCCUGUUCUGUGCCUUUUCGCCUCUUCGUCCGUGCCUUUUUUCUUUCUUUCUUUCUUUCUCUAUUAUUUGUUUUCUCCUCCUGUUGUUUUUUGAGAGUUUAAUUUUGCGACUUCAAUUGUUAAAUUGGAAGGUGAAUGAAUAAUGCAUCUUUCUUUUUUCUCUCCUCUUUUUCUUCUGAUGAUGGAUUUGAUGCCUUACUGUGCUGUGCUGAAUGAUGGAUUUGAUUUUUGUUUCCUUUCGCUGACUGUUUGUUCUUGCUGUGUGUGUGUGUGUGUGUGUCAAUUUUUGAGAUCUGGGUUUCUUGUGAAUUUUGAUUUGGUACAUGUUUGCUUGAUUUGAAUACUCAUCUUUCUUUCUUCUUUUAUUUCUUACUUUUUUCCAGCUACGUAGCUGUCAGAUGUGUUGAUGUCCAGUUUGUGGAAUUGGGGUUUUGAUUUUGUAAUUGUAGAUCGAAUUGGGGUUUUGCUCCGGUGAUCUUUUAAUCAGAGAAUUUAGGAUUUGUUAUUAUUAUUAUUUGCAUUGUACGACCGACCGACCGACCUCUAUAUAUACAUAUCGGUCGAAAUUCCUCCCCUUCUCCUCCACCAUAGCCGCAGUCGAACAAUGAGUGAAGGAGGAGGAGUCUUUUAGAUGACAGGCAUGCUUUUCCACGGCUUUCUUGAACUAUGUACUCAGAAUUUCUUCGACUGUACGUAGUAUAUCAGAAAUCUUUGUGCAAAGUUCAAGAUAGUCGUGGGAAAACAUUACUGCAUCUCUACCAAAGAUCUGUAAUUUUUAAUUUCUUCCUUGAUUAUUUUCCUUUGAAUUAUCUGAAUUGUAACGUAGAAUGAACGGACGGACGGACAGAAAGAUGGACGGAUGGAAGAAGCAGUGAGCACUUUACCUUUUCUCGAAAUGGUAUACACAGAUUUUUCUUCUUCUCACCAAAUCUUUCCAUACGGAACACCAUUGUCUGUAGCGAUGUACCCAUUUUAAUUAAAAUUAAUCCCAUGAUUAAUUCACACGUAAAUACCCUAAAUUGCUCGCAGUCUGCAUGGUUUAUUAAUUAUAAGACGAUUGAAGAUUCGAAGCAGUGGUGGAAUAUUUCGAGGAAAGAAAGAAACUGUGAAACUGCGAUGUGUGUGUGUGUAUAUUUGGAUCACAAGUCCCAAAAUAAGAAGGAAUUUUGUUGUUAUCUACCUCAUGCAUAUAUAUAAACACACACAACACCAUUACUGUAUUUUAUUCACCUUCUUUCUUUCUACACCUGCAAUAAAGUUGAUGCGAGAAAAGUGUAUUGUUUCCUGGACGAUUCCUGUGGCUGGCCACGUGCGAUCUUCUUCAUUGCUCAUUACCAGAUUACCAGAUCAAUCGGUUCAUUAAUUAAACAUUUAAACUCUUAAUUAACUAUACAAUCGAUCGAGAGUCGAGACUGUGGCCCAUCUAGCAAAAAUGAUGUGUGGGUGGUUGGUCCCUAUAAGCAGUAGAGAGGAGCAGAGAGGAGCGGGCCGGGGAUGGAAAAGACUGAGAAUUUUACAGUGUCGGCUGGCCUGCCGGUCCACAUCGCACGAGAGCUUUUUGCUUGUGAUGCACUUGCCAUGUUCGCCCAAUGCCUGCAAUUUUGAUUCGUCAAGCCAUUCCCUUCGGAUUGAAUUACUGAUCGAUCGAUACAUCGAUGGAGGGACUGUUUUUGAUGGAUGUGACGCUGCAUGCAUGACGGGAAAAAUAAAUGGUGACGUAUGAUUCUGACAAGAUCAUUCCAGUCUGAACUCUGAAUCAUAUACUAAUUUACGAUGUUUAUUGGUUAGAUUCAAGCCGUCCGGCAGGGACAACCCAUGUGAAUUUAUCUAAUUAAGACGAUUGAUCCAACAAACAGUUCCUUAAAAUUAUAUUGGUUCCAAGAUCUACAGCGUUCUCGCGCAUGCACUGUCAUUUAUCAAUCAUUUUUCAUUUGUCGUCGAUGUAAUCGAUCUGACGAUCUUCAAUUCCCUGCGAUAUACCUACACCAUCUCCAGAUCCAAACUAAAGCAAGCUAGCCACCCUACUAUGUUUCACUGUUUAUUAUCACUCACUGUCUCGAUCUGUGCUUUAAUUACCACCCUACCAACGUACUAUUUACUAUCCUGUGUCCGUCGCAUUUCAGUGAUAGAUAGAGUGACUUUAGCGAUUUGCUAUUUCGUCUUUCCCAAACUACCCCCGCAAUUUACUCUUAUUUUCAUCGUGCAUGCAUGCUUAAAAGGAUCGAUGUCUCAUGAGUCCAUUUUCAUGGGUAAAGGAACAAUGUCUUUUUUCAAAUCACGGUCUCACCUAGGGUGUCAACGACUAACUCAACUUGGUAAGCUCGAUAAGUUCAUUAAGAGUUUUUUAAUAAUUAAAUAAAAUAUAGAUAUUAAAGUUAUAAGAAAAAUUAAAUAAAAAUCUAAAUCUAAAUCUAAAUCAAAUAAAUAAAUAUAUAUAUAUAUAUAUCUAUUUUAAUUUAAUUUAAUAGUUUCAAUUUGCAGAAUUGCAAAUUAAAUUUCAAGUUCGAACUGAACCGAGCCCUUCCCCGUCCCAAGUUGAGACUGAGAUCGCGAGCUUCGAGUCCAAGCCUAGACAAUGCCUUAAUGAGCCGAGUCCGAGCUUUGAUAAUUUCUUAACGAGCCCAGUCCGAACCCGAUUCUAUAAGCAAAAGUUCGACUUGACUCAUUUCCUAACCUCACCAGAACAUACACCAGGAGAGAGAGAUAAAUUUCCAGGAUUUGAACACAAGGGUUACGGAAUUCCUUUCGUUGUUAGGCGAAUUUUUGUUUUUGUGUUACCACUACCUUACAUUAGAAAAAUGUAUAUAUAUAUUUUUAGGGGAAUUUUCAGGUGUGUCAUCAGUUGUAUGUGCCAUUAUAUUUUGAUCGUUCGAUUGUCAUCUGUCAAAAAUUUAAUGGUUUAUCAGCUUUAUUUAUUCGUCCAUCACUACAUCAUGUACAACGCGGGGUAGAAUCUAGAGAUAUUUUCAGCAACCAUACAUAGUGAAGAGGAAAUUAUCUAUUUACAAGGUGUGUAAACCAACUAUAUUGAUUAAUAGUCUUAGCUAGAUUUUUAUACUUACACCUAUAUUAUAUUCUUUAAGAUCUAUAUAUUUAGCUUAAUUAAUGUUUUUGACUACUCUUUGUUGUCACAUAUAUGCAAGUCAUUCUAGUAGUUGGAGGGAUUGAAUAAAUUUUCAAUGUACUAGGAAGGGGUUGGGAUUUUUUAAUAAUAUUUCAACUAUUUCCUAGUGUCAAAAUCUCAAAGGUUUUUGAUGAAAUUGGGACUACUUCAUUAUUCCAAUACUAGACUACUUCAAAAAGACAUUACAAGUGCAUAAAUAUUUUUCAAUAGAUGAAAAUAAAAAAGUUUUAUAAUCUACAUUCGAACUGUUUAUGGUCUGAAAUUUUUUACUACGAUCAUUCAUCAGCAGCGGCGAAUCCAGGAUUUUUUCUCUCUCUAGGGGCUAAUUUUAAAUCAUUUAAUCAAAUUCAAAAAAAAUCCAAUUGUUCUCGACGAGGUGCCAUAUUUUGGUACUGAUACAUAAUAUCAUCACUACUAACACUAAAAAAUAAAUUUUUUUCAACAUAUGCUACUAAAAUAUCAUUCAACCAAGCAUCAUCCAUACGAUUGCGACAACUUGAUUUAACAAGAUUCAUUGCUGAAAAAGAUUUUCUACUGAAGCAGUCGCAAUUGGUAAUGUGAGUGUUAAUUUGAACAAACAAAACACCAAAAGAAAUACGAUAUCUUUUUUCUUCUCAAUCAACUUUACAGUCAACUCUUCAAUUCCAUUCAAAUUCGAAAGUUCUUUGUUAUUACGUAUAUGAAAAAUGUAUUCUGACAGUUUAUCUACAAGAGCAUUAAUGUCUACAGUAGAAAAAUCCAUAGGAUAAAAAGAUUUAAAUUAAUAACAAAUUUAACAAUAAAAAAUGUAGACAAAAAAUACCUUUAUUUUUCUUCUUCUUUGUAUGACGCUAUGGUCACGAAAUCACGUGAAAUGGAGAAAAAAAAGUCAAAAAUUAAAUGAAUGACGGGGAGAUGGAGAUGGAGGAAGAAGAUUUUUAAAUUCCUAAAUAUAGAUGGACAAUUAUGGAAAAUUAGGGUAAAUAGAGUAAUAAAUUAAUUAUUAAUAGACUAAUGAUUUAUAAACAAAAUAUUUUAAAAAUAUUUAGUAAUAUUUUAAAAAUAUUUAAUAUUAUUAUUAUAUUAUAUUUUAUAAAUAAAAUAAAAUAAAAUAUUAUUAUAUCUUAUAUUGUAUUAUUAUAUUAUAAAAUAUAAUAUUAUAUUAUAUUAAAUGGUGGAGAUGGUGACGUGGAUUUACUUUAUAUACCUACAAGAAAAAAAAAUUAUUUUUGUGUGUAAGGGGGGCUCCUACAUUCGCCGCUGAUUAUCGGUUGUUAUUAAAUAUGAAAAAUGGAGAAACCAAGAAAAAGAAGAUUUGAACAAUAAUUUACCAAUACAUCAAAAUCUAACAACUUGAAAAGAAAUACGGAAUACCCAUACAAACAGAAAAACAACAAAACUACAUAUACUAAAUAUCUACUUUCUAUACUAUUACCUAUUUAAUAGAAUCUAAGAACAUGCAAUAAUCCACUGAAUAUUUACGUACUCUUAAUGUACUAUAGUGGAAUAUACAUUAUAAAUAUUCUAUUUUACUCUAAAUCACAACGGUCGGUUAUUACAACCCAAGCUGAUCCGACUGCGUACGAUAAAUGACACAUUUUUUGCACACCAAGGAAUGACACACUAGAAACCUGCCCUAUAUUUUUAAAUUGAACAUGAUAUCCGGUGUAAAUGAGUCGGGUCUGGGUUUGCUGAAUUAGACCCGGACCAAUGAAGUUGGUCCGGGUCUGAGCUAGGUUCGGGGCAAGAUGAAAAAUGUCUGGACCCAGUCCCAGUCCAGAUCCAUAAAAAAAUCUGGGUCUCAAUAUAUGAUUAUAUUUUUACCUAAAAAAAUCAAAAAAUUAUGACCCUUUCUAGUUGAAAUAUUUAUGUGAGAUCAAAUUUUGCUAUUUGAGACCACUUUUUUUACAUAAUAAAUGAUACUUUUUUAUAAAUGUCUAACUCCAAAUGAUGUAUCAGAGCUCAGAGGCACAUAUAUAUAAUUAAGCAAAUCGUAGUAAAAAUACACACAACGAUACUUAAAUUAUGAAUAUCAGAAACUUUAAUAAUUAUUAUGACCAGCUGAAUGAAACCACUUUUGACAGUGUAAAAUACGUCUAUUCCUUAUGGAGGUUCGUAAAAUGACCGGGGGUGAUGAGAUACAAACGCAUUUGAAAUCUGCCUUUGGUUUUAAAGUGGUAAAUACUUUGUAGUUAAUUUGAUACUUAUCAAAGAUUAUUAUUUAUUUUAAUGUAAUUUUAAAAAAAACAGAGUAUCUUUAAAAUUUAAUGUAAGGUUUUUCUUGUAAAUUUACAAAAGAUUAAUAAAAUUUCAAUUUAAAAAAAAAAAUCAUACCCCAAACGGCCAAACCAAACUCAAACCUGACCUGACAAUAUUUAAGUGGGGUAAAGGUUUAAAGAAUUUUGUAAGACCUCACCCGACCUGUCUUUAUUCUUAGUUAUUAGUAAUUAAUAAAAAAAAUCAGUUUUGAUUUGGAAAAAAAAAACAGUGCAAAAAAUUAAACAAGUCUUCAAACAAUUUUAACUCAAAACCUUAAAUUCAUGGUGGAGACACAUUUAAUAAUUUUAUUCCUCAAAAUAGUGUCACCAUUCACCAGCAGACCAGCUGUUUCGUCUAUCUUCCAGACGGACUCUUUAAACUAUAAACAGUUGGGCUAAAAUUAAUUGGGCCCAAUAGAUCCGUAGUUCAUGGGUCGUGGACUGAUUGUUCUAGGUUUAUGAUUAAAAUGUUGAAUUAUUAUUCAGACUAUUCCGCCUCUCUCUAGAUUGUAGAGAUGCUAAAGUGUUAAACUUCUAGAAUUAAUAUUUCUAACUUGUUGGGGCCCAGUGGAUUUUAAAAUUUGAAGUUUAGGUUGGAAAAAUGAAAGAGAUUGAUUAUUAAUUAUUUAUAUUAUUAUUCUUUUAUUCUAUGAUUAGUUGUUGAUCGAGAAUCUUUAAUUCUGUAUGUGUAUAUUUUCUGGAUUUACCAGAUUUAAUCUAGAGAAUCGGUGGUCCAACGGAAUAAUUACAAAUCGAAAAAAACUUUGAAUCGACCCAGAAAUUUUUUUGGUCAUUAAUUACGAAAUUAAACAAGUUAAGAAGUCAGAAGAAGACGAUGAUAUCAAAAUCGUAUGUGAUCGAAAUUUCUCCUCUAUCUUUUGUUAUUUGUGGAAUUCUGGGAUCAAGACUUAAGCAUUCACACAAACAACAAGAUUCCUAUCCCUAAGUCAGUCGUUCUCUUGAAAAUUAACCAGAUGAACGGCCAGAGAAUCCACGAAAAAGUCCUGAAUCCUAAGUCAUUAUAAUCUAUUACACUUCGCAACCAAGCAACCAUGUUGACGGCCCAAAGUCAAAGAUGCGUAUAAUGUGGACCGAACUCGUAAGGAAUCUAAUCAGAAUCACUUAAUCAAAAAUUAAAAUAAGUUAUAGUGUUUAGAAAAGGACGACCCAUUUAACAAGCCUCCACGUGACGGAUUUAUUCUGCUCUGUUGUGGUCUAAAAAUCACCACUCACCACCCUUAUCCUCUAAACCUUAAAAUUCAAAACAAUGGGUGCUCUCCUGUAUACGACAGAAAAAGGUACAGAUUACAUAAUAAAUUUUAAAUAUAAUUUAUUUAUUCGUAUUCUGAAAAAUUAAAAUCACAUAAUAUUUUUUAAUUAAAUUACAAAAUGAUCCAAACCGUUGGAUAAAUAAAUAUAUGGUCAUAAAAUGGAAGGACGGUAUAAUUCCAAAAAUGAAAAUCAGCGCGAAAAACAAGGUCAAGGUUGAUAAACUUAUUGGUAUUAUCAGAUAUCAUGAAUUCAUGAUACGGUGAUGUACAGCAUCAAUCCCAUCCAAAGAUUUCUGUGCCACGGCAUCUGCACCGCACAUCAGAUUUACGAACGGGGGGAGGGAUUAGAUGGACGGCUAGAUCGGGAAUGAUAAAUUAUUAUUUUAUUAUUGGCUUUUUUCAUAAAUGAUUAAAAUAAAUAAAUGUUUAAACUUUAUUUUUAAUUUUUAUGCUGAUCUGGAUCAAUCACAAUUUGGCAUCUGUCGGUAUGACAUAAACUGUUACACACAUCUCGAUAUUUUUUAUUAGUUAAAUACGGAAAAUUUUCGAUCUAUAAAUAAAGCCGCAGCAUCUGAUUUCCCUCAUACUUCUCAAUAUUUCCUCUCAUCGGCAAUAUUACAACUACAGUCAUGUCUCUCCUAAGCGAUCUCAUCAAUCUCGACCUCACCAGCACCACCGAGAAGAUCAUCGCAGAGUACAUAUGGUAUUUUUUCUCCUUAUCCGAUUCCUAUCGUCUGUUUACUUCUUUUUCCGAUCGUUAGCUAGAUUUAGACUGCUCGGUGUUCAUUUUCGGUUUUCCAUGUUUGGUGUUCGAUCAGGAUCGGUGGAUCUGGGAUGGAUAUGCGGAGCAAGGCUAGAGUGAGUUGUGUAGAUCUAUAUUCAUUCUGUUUUUUCAACUUUUCAUACUUGUUUUCUUUUUACCUUUGUUUCUCUGUUUUUUUUAUUCAGACUUUGUCCGUCCCAGUCACGGAACCGCAAAAGUUGCCAAAGUGGAACUACGAUGGUUCGAGCACCGGCCAGGCUCCUGGUCAGGACAGUGAAGUUAUACUCUAGUGAGUUUCGACUGUAUUUCUUGCCUCUUGCCUGAUUUAUUAUUUUCCCUUAGAUCUCUGUUUUUACGGAUCUUUUUUUUUUGCCAGUCCACAGGCAAUAUUCAAGGAUCCAUUCAGGAGAGGAAACAAUAUCCUGGUACUUACUUACCUACUGAUUUUUUUCUUCUUCCUGCGUUUAUCCUUUGACGAAAUUUUAAAAUUGCAAUACUUUCGCUAUCGCCAGGUUAUGUGUGACGCAUAUACCCCAGCUGGAGAUCCGAUCCCUACCAACAAAAGAUACCAAGCUGCCAAAAUCUUCAACGACCCCAAGGUUGUUGAAGAGGAAACAUGGUAAUUUUUUCUUUCCAAGAUAUAGGAAUAUAGGAUUUUUAUUUUUUGUUAUUGAAUUUUGACGUUUAUUAUUUUCAGACUUCAGUUAGUUCAAUAUGAAAAAAAAAAUAUUAUUAUUAUUAUUAUUAUUUUAUUUACUUCUUUCUUUGGGGAAGUUAAAAGUGGAGUUGGUAAUUCAUAAUUGUUUAAUGGGUACUACCGUACUGGGUUAGUUAAGUAAACAUCCAAUUAACUCCUUUUCCGUGCUGUCAUUUAAUCUUUAUAUGCUGUCAUUAAUAUUCUCACAUGCUGUCAUUUAAUCUUUACAUGUUGUCAGCUCUGAUUCUUUAGCAUUAAAAUAAAAAGAUUUGUUUUUAAAUGCUAAGGUCUAAAAUCACACUAACAUUUAAUUUUAUAUCUUUUGACACGUCUUAUCAGGUUUGGUAUUGAACAAGAGUACACUCUCCUUCAGAAGGAUGUUAACUGGCCUUUGGGAUGGCCCGUCGGUGGCUUCCCCGGUCCUCAGGUAUCAUUAUCUUGCCAGAAUAUCUUAUUAGCUCCUCCCUCUAACUCUAAGUCCUCUUUCUUCCUUUUCUUUUCAGGCAGGUGCCAUUUUUUUUUUCAUUUUAAUAUAAAUUGUAUAAUCACUUGUUAUGAGGUUUUGGCGUGCAAACAUUUAAUUUUUGAGAUGGCAUUUAUUUCUUUUACAGGGCCCAUACUACUGUAGUGCUGGAGCAGACAAGUCAUUUGGCCGAGAUAUUGUUGAUUCUCACUACAAGGCAUGCCUUUAUGCCGGAAUCAACAUCAGUGGAAUUAACGGAGAGGUUAUGCCGGGACAGGUAACAGAUAUUGCAUAGCUUCGGUUUUGAUUUUCACAUCGAACAUGAAAUCCCUUACUAAAUAUUUGAAUUCUUUGCUAUACCUUCUUUUUGUGUUUUAACAGUGGGAGUUUCAAGUUGGUCCUUCUGUUGGAAUAUCUGCCGGUGACCAACUGUGGAUGGCUCGCUACAUUCUUGAGGUAUUCAUAAAUUUAAAGAUUACCAUAUUUCUUAGCUGUUGCUUUAUUAAUCAACACCAUUUAUAAACGCAGAGGAUUACUGAAAUUGCUGGAGUUGUUCUUACGUUCGAUCCCAAACCAAUCCCAGUCAGUAUCUCUUUUGUCGUAUUAGUUAAUUAUCAAUCUGAUUAUUGAAUAUUGAUGACUUACAAGAAUUUCACUAUGUUAUAAUUGUCAGGGUGACUGGAAUGGUGCUGGUGCUCACACAAAUUACAGGUUUGUAAUUCUCCAAAUGCCAUUGCACAUCCUUAUUGAACUUCAGAGAGAAAUCUCUAAUGAUCUGAAUUGAAUGUGAUGUUCUGUAUGUAACAGCACCAAGUCAAUGAGAGAAGAUGGCGGAUAUGAGGUGAUAAAGAAAGCAAUUGAGAAAAUGGGUUUGCGACACAAGGAACACAUUGCUGCAUACGGAGAGGGUAAUGAAAGAAGACUCACCGGACGUCAUGAAACAGCAGACAUCAACACAUUCUCUUGGGUAAGUCUGAAUGAAUGAAUGAAUGAAUGAAUGAAUGAAUGAAUGAAUGACCAACUUUCUGCUAUUGUUGUUUCUAAACAAGCAUUAUUUUCAUUGCAGGGAGUUGCUAACCGUGGUGCUUCAAUCCGUGUUGGUCGUGAUACUGAAAAGGACAGAAAAGGUAACAAACGGCCCCUCUCCUAAACAUAGGCAGGCAGAUGUAUCGAAUUAACAUGUAAUCAAUCAUUGUGUUUUGUUCUGCAGGAUACUUUGAGGACAGGAGGCCAUCGUCCAACAUGGACCCUUACGUAGUCACAUCCAUGGUCGCAGAGACCACUCUUCUCUUGCCUUGAAAGAAACCUUGCAACAGUGGAGCAAUCUUCACUCUACUCCACUUUAAUAAAUGUGAUGUAUUCAGAAUUUCAGACUGCUACUCUAUUUGCGAAUAUUGCAAUCAUACUCACUGAUUUAUUGCUUGCUAUUGC
rnacentral:lncRNA from 1 species